rnacentral:lncRNA from 1 species
UAGUAUCGUAUUAAGGAUUAAAAUAUGAACAUACCAAGCUAUAUGACAUGAUUAGAUCAUUUACUUGACUUAUUCAUUCUAGUUGCUUGAUCUUUAAAAUAUCAUCAACUUGAUGUUAGACUUUAAAACUCUUCUUGAUGCUUCUAUGUUUGCUAAAAACAGUGUAGGGACCGUAUAUGGUGCCGCAAAAAUGCGGCAAAUAAUAAUCAUAAAAAAAAACA